rnacentral:rRNA from 1 species
UACGUAGGGUGCAAGCGUUGUCCGGAAUCAUGGGGCGUAAAGAGCGUGUAGGCGGUCCGGUAAGUCCGCUGUGAAAGUCGGGGGCUCAACCCUCGAAUGCCGGUGGAUACUGUCGGGCUAGAGUGCGGAAGAGGCGAGUGGAAUUCCUGGUGUAGCGGUGAAAUGCGCAGAUAUCAGGAGGAACACCGGUGGCGAAGGCGGGUCUCUGGGCCGAUACUGACGCUGAGGAGCGAAAGCGUGGGGAGCAAACAGG